rnacentral:rRNA from 1 species
GAUGAACGCUGGCGGCGUGCCUAAUACAUGCAAGUCGAGCGAACGGACGAGAAGCUUGCUUCUCUGAUGUUAGCGGCGGACGGGUGAGUAACACGUGGAUAACCUACCUAUAAGACUGGGAUAACUUCGGGAAACCGUAGCUAAUACCGGAUAAUAUUUUGAACCGCAUGGUUCAAAAGUGAAAGACGGUCUUGCUGUCACUUAUAGAUGGAUCCGCGCUGCAUUAGCUAGUUGGUAAGGUAACGGCUUACCAAGGCAACGAUGCAUAGCCGACCUGAGAGGGUGAUCGGCCGCACUGGAACUGAGACACGGUCCAGACUCCUACGGGAGGCAGCAGUAGGGAAUCUUCCGCAAUGGGCGAAAGCCUGACGGAGCAACGCCGCGUGAGUGAUGAAGGUCUUCGGAUCGUAAAACUCUGUUAUUAGGGAAGAACAUAUGUGUAAGUAACUGUGCACAUCUUGACGGUACCUAAUCAGAAAGCCACGGCUAACUACGUG